rnacentral:rRNA from 1 species
CACGUAGGGUGCGAGCGUUGUCCGGAAUUAUUGGGCGUAAAGAGCUUGUAGGCGGUUUGUCGCGUCUGCCGUGAAAAUCCGAGGCUCAACCUCGGACUUGCGGUGGGUACGGGCAGACUAGAGUGUGGUAGGGGAGACUGGAAUUCCUGGUGUAGCGGUGAAAUGCGCAGAUAUCAGGAGGAACACCGAUGGCGAAGGCAGGUCUCUGGGCAUUAACUGACGCUGAGGAGCGAAAGCAUGGGGAGCGAACAGG